AGAGCGUGUAUCUCGGUCCAAAGCUAAACAAGAGUAGCAGUUUCAAAACUAAUGGAAGGUGGGAGUAAGUAAACUGGAUAAGGAUAUGACGCGUCUUAUGCAUCAAGAAUACGCGUGGAGGAGGACUUCGUCAUUUGAACAAGCUACCACAAGAGUGAAGAGCCUCCUCCUCUCCACUACUCUUCAUCUUCUGUAGUUGUGAUUAGGCUCUCUCUCCUCUCGUAGCCUUGUUCGGGUUCUGUUGCAGAGCUCAGGGUGACAUAAAACCAUAAGAGCCUAAAGAAGCCUAAAAAUGGGUUACAUUGUGGUGAUAUCACUGCCUGUGAUACUGUUCAUCUUGAUUGUAGCAUUGGCAUUUUACCUUCUUGGAAGGGCACAGGGUCGAAGCCAUGCAGCAAGAUUUCCGCAUUAUGGGCCUCCAGCACCUCCAUUCCAAGCCCCGUCUCCACCUCAGGAUAAAUCAGCACAGGUUUAGAAUUAUGGUUCUUAUCAUGUGGCUGUGAAAAUUUGGGUGGUGGAAGUACAGCUCUCUCUAGUUGCAUUUUUGUGCUCAGAAUGGUUCUUUUUGUGUUUGUGUAAUGUCUAUUGCAUGAUGAAAAGAAGGGUGACAAGAAGCUGAGUUUCUGUAAUAUAUGUGUAUAUAUUGUAAAGGGAAAUACUUUACUCACAAAGGGAUUGCACAAAAACAAACUUACAAACUGAUGUGGCUUGAUGUGAUUCGUCAGAUUAUAAAGUUAUUUUUAUUGUAAAAUAGAUCUAACGGAUCAGAUGAAACCACGUCAGCUUGUGGGAUUGCUUUUGAGUAAUUAUUUUGUGGAUGUAGCAUUACUUGUAAAGGGAAAUAAAGAAUUGGUUACAUAUA